ACAUUCCUACAAUUUAGCAUUAAUGCACCGGAUCCCAUUAUAACUCCAUAGUUAAGCAUGCUCGGGCUAGAGUAGUACUGGGAUGGGUGACCAUUCGGGAAGUCCUAGUAUUUUACAUGUC
rnacentral:rRNA from 1 species